rnacentral:rRNA from 1 species
UACGAGUGCCCCAAGCGUUAUCCGGAAUCAUUGGGCGUAAAGGGUGUGUAGGUGGUUUUGUUAGUCUCCUGUCAAAUUCUUCGGCUUAACCGGGGGUCCGCAGGGGAAACGGCAAAACUUGAGGAUGCGAGGGGUGAAUGGAACUCAUAGUGGAGGGGUGAAAUCCGUUGAUAUUAUGGGGAACACCAAAAGCGAAGGCAAUUCACUGGCGCACUCCUGACACUGAAACACGAAAGCGUGGGUAGCGAAUGGG